GGCCUUUCUUCUGGGUUUGCUCACAGAGCCAGGGAGGCUGGGUGCCAGGGAGAGUAUUUCCUCUGGAGAAAGCUGUAUCCAUCUGGCCGGCUCGGCAGCCUGUGGCACCUCCACUCGGAAGCAUUCCUGUCACUGGGCACAGACUUCACAGCCUGGGUCUCUGGAAGAGGCACCAGGGAGUGUGUGUGUAUGUGUGGGUGUGUGUGUGUACACAUGUGUGGGCGGACUGAUGAAGCCACAAAUGUGCCCACCUCCCAGACAUUCGCUAAGGGUCUUCCCUGCUGGAAUGUGGACUUGGCCUGUUAGGGUGGUCUCCGGGACAGUUGUGGGGAGUGGCAGUCCAGUCUUCCUAGGCCUGAAGGAAUUUCCAGAUCAUCCUGUGCAGCCCCUUUAUUUCUUGCAGAUGAGGAAGCAAGGGCUGGGGGAGCCGAUGUAGCUUGCCCAAGGUCAUGCAGGAAACCCCAGAUCUGGCUCCACCACUGCCCUGUCGUGUGACCUUGAGCCAGUUACUCAACCCAGCCACCCCUGUUUUCUUAGCUUGUAAAGGAGGAGAAAAGGACCCAAUCCGCUAGGCUAAUGCGGGUGUUAAAUGAGAUAAUCCGGGAGGGCUCGUUCUGGACCUCUGCUCCCAUCCUUCUUGGAAUCUGCAUUGUCAUUGUUUUAUUGUUGCCAUGUUGUCGGCAACAACCACUGCAACUGUGUGAGGGUUUUGGAAGCCAGGGCUGUGCAGCCACACCAACCCUUGCCCGUUCAUCAAGCGCCUCCCAAAUCACCAUCACCGUUCGUCCUCCCCAGUUUCCAACAAGGUAGAGAGGGCCAGUCUCCUUUCUUGCAUUUCACUGCUGAGAAAACUUCAAAGAUGGGCCUCCGAACCGAGUCUUCUAUUGCCCAGUACCCCCUCCCCCUGCUGCCAAUUAGAAUAUUCCUUCUGAUAGACUUUUCCAGCUCUGCUGGGACAGACUGUGGGAAGAAGGAACACCCCCCCCCCUUCCCAAAUGAAUGAAAAUCAGCUCAGCCUCUUACCUGUUACUGCCCUUGAGUUCCUCCUGAGGGCCUGGGGCUUCCUCCUCCAUCGCUAGAGCUGUAGCUGAAGGAAGAACUGAGUGCACUUCCCGGCUCUAGACUUGUGGCCGGUGGCCACUUUAAGAGAAAACAAAGAAUUGCCUUCAUCGGGUUAUAGUGGCCGGAGGGAUUGAUGGACAUUUUUGGAGACUCGAUGGACCCAGACCCAAAAGGAGCAGAGCCCUAGGAAAUACAAUAGCCCUGUUACACAGAAAGAAUGAGUUUAAUGUGUACAGGGUGAGGGGUGAGGAGCAAUCAGAGGAAGAGGGGGUCACCCUGCUAAAUGUUUAUGAUUGGAGCCCUAAGCCCUGCCUUUCCAGAGGUGGUGGCAGGAGGAUCAUUUCUGUAAUAUAUUCCUCCCUUGAAACCUACCUUGCAGGAGAAAAUGCAGCAGGCACAAAACGCUGCUCAUGAAUAUUAACCAGCAAGCUCCCCCAGCCAUUGGGAAAUGGGCUGGUGCUAACUGGAUCCUUGUCCAUCCUGAAAAAAGCACAGAGCCCCUGAGGAGCCUCCGAGGCCAGGCUGGGGCAGGGGUGGGGGCGAGAGAGCAGAGGUCAUCCAGGCAGAGGGGUCAGAGGGCACGGCCAGAGGAGGGGUCAGCUUUGUUUCCACUCUGUGUUGGUGAAAGCCAAAUCUUUAUGGAACUUUUCUAGCUGCAUUUUGGGCUAUGUAGCUCCAAAAACAAAAGAUGUAUUUUCCCCCUUCUCCUUUUGGGUUUUGUCCUCCACUGAGCGGUGGCAUAUGCAGGUCUGGAGGCUGUUAAGGCCAUGCUGUCCCUCAUCCUGAGGAAAAGAAAAGCCAGGAUCUUAAUUUCAAAGAGAACAUGUGGGAAGGCAGCACAGCUAUUCCCAAGGUCCACCGUCCACCAUUGCUUCUCAUUUUUUCAACAGAGAAAAGAACAAAGGGGCAUGGUGAGGUAAUAGUACACUGUUUCAUAACACACUGUUGGCAGAACCGGUUACAUUUUAUUAUUUUAUUAUUUAUUAUGGCCCUUGCACAUACCACAUAUCAUGGUGGAAUCUUUGAAUCCUUUCUGGGAGAUGGGGCUUAUGGUCCCCUUUUGCAGAUGUGAAAACCGAGGCUUGUAAGUAACUUCGCCAGAGUCAUUGAGAUAUUGAAGGGGCAGAACUAGCACUCCAUACCAAGUGUCUACUGCCAAACACAGGGCUGCUAAGGGAUGUGAUUUAAUUUCUCUGGGUCUCAUUUUCCAAAUCUGUAAAAAGAGGCAACGGUUCCAUUUAGAUCUUCUAAACUGUUCACUCAUUUUGGUCUUUUUGUUGGGGGUGGGUCACACCCUCAGCAUAUGGAAGUUCCUGGGCCAGGGAUCAAACCUGUGACCUGAGCCAUAGCAGUGACUAUGCUAGAUCCUUAACCUGUUGUGCCAUCAGGGAACUCCCUCCACCUCUGUCUAUGCAUUUUGUUUCUGGGCAUCUGAAAUUCACAGGCAGGAGAGACUAGAGGGCAUCAGGGCACAGGUCUGUUACUUCAUUUCUCUAGAUUCAAAUCUCUUCGAGUGCGAUUUCACUGGAGAGGAUGCCAGAGGUGAACACUCUGGGAAGUUUAUUUUUUCUGUUUUUUCCCUCGCCACUUACACAAUAACAAUGAUGAGGCAAGGAUAGCAGAGGUGGGAGUUCCCGUCGUGGCGCAGUGGUUAACAAACCCGAAUAGGAACCAUGAGGUUUCGGGUUCGGUCCCUGCCCUUGCUCAGUGGGUUAAGGAUCCGGCGUUGCCGUGAGCUGUGGUGUAGGUUGCAGAUGUGGCUUGGAUCCCGCGUUGCUGUGGCUCUGGCAUAGGCCGGCAGCUACAGCUGCGAUUCGACCCCUAGCCUGGGAACCUCCAUAUGCCGAGGGAGCGGCCCAAGAAAUAGCAAAAAGACAUAAAAAAAAAAAAAAAAAAAAAAAAAGGAUAGCAGAGGUGGGGCCACAUAGAGGUUAGCAGUUUGGACUCAGGGCUGGGCAAUGAACCAUGGCUCAGUGGUAAUGAACCCAACUAGUAGCCAUGAGGAUGCCCCUUGAUCCCUGGCCUUGCUCCAUGGGUUAAGGAUCUGGCAUUGCCGUGAGCUGUGGCAUAGGUCGAAGCUGUGGCUCAGAUCCUGAGUUGCAGUGGCUGUGGCGUAGGCCAGCGGCUAUAGCUCUGAUUGGACCCCUAGCCUGGGAACCUCCAUAUGCCACACAUACAGCCCUAAAAAGCAAAAAAAAAAAAAAAAAAA
rnacentral:lncRNA from 1 species